GUAGCAGGAUGCUUGUGUCGCUUGCCGAUGGAGGUUGAUCUCCGGAGCGGCAAGAGGAAAGUCCGGGCAACGCAGAGCACCAUACUUUCUAACAGUAAGCUGUCGGUGACGGCAGAGUAACGUGACAGAAAACAACAGCCCGUCUCCCCUUCCGGGAGGUCAGGCAAUGGUGAAAAGGUGGGGUAAGAGCCCACCGGGUAUCGUGGCGACACGGUAUGCCGCACGUCUUAUGGGUUGCAAGGCCACAUAUACCGGCGCGUUAGCAUGUCAGACCGUCUUUACGGUGACACUAACAAUGGGUUGCUCGCUCAUUGCCGGGGGGUAGGCUGCUGGAGUGCCGAAGCAAAGCGAGGCACCGAUUAGAUAAAUGACACGGGCACGGCGGCAACCUUCAGGGCUUCGUCCCUGACAGAAGUCCCGCAGUGACAUAACCCGGCUUAUAGUCCUGCUACCUUU
rnacentral:RNase_P_RNA from 1 species